CAGACAAAUCCGCAAACAAAGCUUCACGUGUUACGGUGUUUGAUAAACAAUAAAGGGAAGGAGAUCAUUUCGUUUAAUUUAUUGAUAAGAAGUAGGUAUAGUGCAUACUAAUCAUUGAUUUCCUUAUGCUUUAAAACAUAGUGUGCGCAUAUGAGUGUACAUUUUCAGAAAUUAAAUGCACGCGAGCUUUCAUAGGUUAUGUUUUCAUGAACUUUUCCAUGUUAAGGAGGUGGUUGUAAUUACUUUCUUUAUACGUUUUUUCCCUACAUUUGAAUAUUUCCGAGAAGUUUAAAGGAAUAUAUAUUAAAUACUUCAUUUUAUAGAAAAAUAAAAUUGUCCUGGUCUUGCAAAAGUAUAAGGAAAACAUGAGGUUGUUGAAUAUAAAGUCAUUCUUAUACUAUAUUCAUUUGUAUAUUUGUGAGUCAAUUUUCUGUUUCUGUAAUUUUUUUCUCUAGUUACUUGAAUCAUGGCUUGGUCCAAAAAAGGGACAAUCACUCGUGGUCUAAAAAAGGGAAAUAAACGAGCUAUCGUUAGCGUUCCAUCUGGCUGUGUUUCUUAUGAUAAGAAAAAGGGUAGAAUUUUAGCCAAAUUUAUGGAGCCACCUUAUGAUAAUGAAGAUACAGAUCUUCUGUAUACGCUUGUUGAAAAUGAAGAAAAUGCUCCAGAGAGUUGGCCUACUUAUUCAGUCCAAAUCAGAGGUCAUGUCCAAACUUACAGUGAAGCCUUAAAAAGAUUGAAAACACUGGAGAAUGAGGACAAUGCUUUUACAACAGACACUGAUGGUGAUCCUUAAGCUAUUAAAGCUGAAAAAUAGAAAAAAUAUUCAAAACAAAAAAGUAAGUAGUGAGUAAAGAAAUUCGCAAUGCAAUGGACGUGCCUUCCAUCGAAUCAGAUGCAGCUGAAGAGUUAGACAAUAGUCUAGAUUCUAGCAGUAUUGAUGAAAAUGCUCCUCCCAGAAGUAAGAGGCAAAAGAUUUCAUCCAGACUUGAACCUGUGUACAAAACAAAAAAUCGUCCUCCAAUAGGAAAACGGAACAAAACUGAUUCUAAAAUUGCAGCGACUGUGAGUUCAGGAAAACAGUAAUCUUGUCAUCAGAAGUCAUCCACUGACUUCGAAAAGCUAUCCACUUCUAGUGCUGUCAGUAACGAAAGAGGCUCCAAAGGAAAUAUAGAUGGCAAGGUUGAUAAUUCCAUAGCUAAGCCCCUGUUAGCUGAAAAAGAAGAUGGAAAAUAAGUUACGGGGGCAGCAACAAAAAAACUGAACAAAAUAUUCAAAGAUCGGAAGAGCGGUGAGAAAAGAACAAAACUUCAUAAUUAAACACAAUCUCAGUAUACCGUUUAAAACUAUGGAUGAUUUUAAAGAUUUUGACAAGAACCUUACAAGCAUGGACGAGUUUCGAACAGAGUUUAUCGGGAAUUAAGUUUAAUCAAAAGCUGCACGAACAUUGUUCGAAAAUAUCUCUCAAGAGGCGUGAUCGUAUAAUUCACAUCAAAAAUAAGAAUGCCUGGAAAGUUUCUGAUGAAUUCUACGAUGUUUUACGAUUGCAUUUUAAGCGUGAUGAUUCAGACGCACAAAGACGUUCAUACUGAAAGGGCUAUUACAGAGCAAACUUUCUUCAGCACAAUAGGCAGGGUAUUCAAUAAUUCGAAGAAUUGGGAUGGUCAGCGGGAGAAGAGGGCCGUACUGCAGCCGAUUAAACCUAAGCCUCAAAAUCAGAACUUGGAGGAACAUAAUGAUCAGAGCGAACAGAAAGAUGAGGAAGAAACUGAUCAAGAUUGUGAGAACCGAAAUUCUUUCAAGAUUGUAGGUGAUAUGUUAAUGAUAAAUAAUGCAUUCCAAAAGUUAUUUGAAGCUUGCUGGUGUUCACUUUAAAUCUAGAUUGUAUUUAGAGAUAUAUAAAAAUAGUCUGAAAAGUAGAAAGACUGAAUUAAUCUUACAAGGGUUAUGUUUUUAAAAAGAUUUUCUUCAAUAGAAACGAAGUUUUCGAAAACACUA